rnacentral:rRNA from 1 species
AUGAACGCUGGCGGCGUGCUUAACACAUGCAAGUCGAGCGAGAAGUUUUGAAAAGAUUCUUCGGAUGAAAUUUAAAAUGGAAAGCGGCGGACGGGUGAGUAACGCGUAGGCAACCUGCCCCAUACAAAGGGAUAGCAUUUGGAAACGAAUAUUAAUACCUUAUGAAACUUAACUAGUGCAUGCUAGGUAGGUCAAAGAUUUAUCGGUAUGGGAUGGGCCUGCGUCUGAUUAGCUAGUUGGUGAGGUAACGGCUCACCAAGGCGACGAUCAGUAGCCGACCUGAGAGGGUGAACGGCCACAUUGGAACUGAGACACGGUCCAAACUCCUACGGGAGGCAGCAGUGGGGAAUAUUGCACAAUGGGGGAAACCCUGAUGCAGCAACGCCGCGUGAACGAUGAAGGCCUUUGGGUCGUAAAGUUCUGUUCUAGGUGAUGAGAACUGACAGUAACCUAGGAGAAAGCCCCGGCUAACUCCGUG